GUGGGGAAUCUUAGACAAUGGGGGAAACCCUGAUCUAGCCAUGCCGCGUGAUCGAUGAAGGCCUUAGGGUUGUAAAGAUCUUUCAGGUGGGAAGAUAAUGACUGUACCACCAGAAGAAGCCCCGGCUAACUCCGUGCCAGCAGCCGCGGUAAUACGGAGGGGGCUAGCGUUGUUCGGAAUUACUGGGCGUAAAGCGCACGUAGGCGGAUUGGAAAGUUGGGGGUGAAAUCCCGGGGCUCAACCCCGGAACUGCCUUCAAAACUCCCAGUCUUGAGUUCGAGAGAGGUGAGUGGAAUUCCGAGUGUAGAGGUGAAAUUCGUAGAUAUUCGGAGGAACACCAGUGGCGAAGGCGGCUCACUGGCUCGAUACUGACGCUGAGGUGCGAAAGCGUGGGGAGCAAACAGGAUUAGAUACCCCUGUAGUCC
rnacentral:rRNA from 1 species